CAGCACCUCAAGUGGUCAGGAUGAUUAUUGGGCCUAAAGCAUCCGUAGCCGGCGCUGUAAGUUUUCGGUUAAAUCUGUACGCUCAACGUACAGGCUGCCGGGAAUACUGCAGCGCUAGGGAGUGGGAGAGGUAGACGGUACUCGGUAGGAAGGGGUAAAAUCCUUUGAUCUAUUGAUAACCACCUGUGGCGAAGGCGGUCUACCAGAACACGUCCGACGGUGAGGGAUGAAAGCUGGGGGAGCAAACCGGAUUAGAUACCCGAGUAGUCC
rnacentral:rRNA from 1 species